GAUGCACGCUAGCUACAGGCUUAACACAUGCAAGUCGAGGGACCGGCGCACGGGUGAGUAACACGUAUCCAACAUGCAAUUUACUCGGGGAUAGCCUUUCGCAAGAAAGAUUAAUACCAGAUAAGAAGGAUGGGGAUGCGUUCCAUGUGGUGGUUGGUGAGGUAACGGCUCGCCAAUCCUUCGAUGGAUAGGGGUUCUGAGAGGCAGGUCCCCCACAUUGGAACUGAGGCCCUGUCCAAUCUCCUACUGGAUGCAGCAGUGAGUAAUAUUGGUCAAUGGGCGCUAGCCUGAACCAGCCAAGCAGCGUGAAGGAUGAAGGCUUAUGGGUCGUAAACUUCUUUUAUAUAAGAAUAUGUAUUAUAUGAAUAAGGAUCGGCUAACUCCGUGCCAGCAGCCGCGGUAAUAC
rnacentral:rRNA from 1 species